GCCGGGGUGUCGAAAUCGGUAUACGAGGCAGACUCAAAAUCUGCUGUGCUCACGCACGUGAGGGUUCGAGUCCCUCCCCCGGCACCA
rnacentral:tRNA from 1 species